rnacentral:lncRNA from 1 species
GUUGCCGUGAAUAUUCAACUACUUAAAAAUAUAUGAAAUAUCCUAAGUAUUACAUAAUAUCAGUCCUUUGUUCUACCUAGAAAGUGCUGCUGAUGAAAGGACAUUCUUCGUUUGUGCUCCAAGCAAAACUUGAAUUCAAUCAGUCAACUUUCUCCGGAGAAAGGGUCUUUCGUUGACUUAUUGAAAAAUUUCAAGACCUUCUUUAUUAUGCCCUACUUUGUACCAGCAUCACUGCCUUGGUGAAAAAUAGUGUGAUGAACCCUCAAAGAGAAUAAUAGUUUUACACAUAAUCAAGAAAAAAAAUGCAGGAAUCUUUGGAAAAAAUAGUCACAUGACCAUCACUUUAGAAACAAUAAAAAUGAACUAUAAAAUGAACGUCGUUCAUUUGUACGUUCAAUCUCCAAGAGUCACGAGAUCUAAUAAAGAUGAUUGACGUCAUCAAGGACUGAACUUUAUCAGUUUUAGGACUGAGAUACAGGGCUGAACUGGACCGGAGCUAGACUGAACUGGAGGGGACUAGAGUUUUCAGUCCUAAAUAAGGAUUGAACCAGCAAUAAUUGCCCCUUUUUUUUGGUAUUAAGAGGACUUUUGAGUGUGAACAUAAUUAACUGCGUAAUUUCAAGCAAUGUCGAUUACACCCGCUAGUUUAAAAAAUUCAAACAAAGGUUACUUUUCAAACAAACUGAGAUUAAGAUUAACCAUUGCACAAAAGUCAACAAGUUUCUACAUAGAUUUGCCUGUGGGAUAGCAUAAAUUCCAAAGAGAAAGGAAGUCAGUAUUGUAUGAUUUACAUUUUACAUUGGGCUCGUUACAGAAAAACGGAGAAUCCCAAGUUUUGUCGGGUUCUGAGCAUUUUGUCUAAUUUUGCAUAGGCGAGCUUUCUACACAUACCUUUACAAAAUGUAUUCUCAUAAAAUAACAAUAUCUGCAUUAGCUUCCAGGCUUCCUUAACGAUACUAAUCGCAAAGAUUUAAAAAUGGCAAGUUUAGAGGUCAUAUCUUACGUAUCCAAAAAUUACAUAAAUUGGUCUUCAACCAUCCAAAUUUUUUUCGAGUUUUGUUGCUGGUGCAGUGUAUUGUUGGAAUGUUUUAGAUCCAUUACAUGCCCUUCAUUGCUGAUUAGACCCAAGGUCCUAAUCGCAGCUGGAUUUUUACUUCCGAAGACAGUUCAGGGACUUUGUAAAUAUCUUGGCUGAUCCACCAGGGCUUUUGAGUGUCAAAUGAUAAAUCCAAAGUGAAGAGUAUUUCAUUC